AGGCCAUUUCUCAGCACCAUAAGGUUGAAUGUAAUCUCAGUUUCUUCAUCAUGGAUUUGAAAUUUAGUAUUAAAAUUAAUUGUUCAUUAUUAACUCUUACUGAUUUUUGCUUUAGGACUUUGUUGUUACACUUGUUGCCACUUUUUUGUGGUUGGUGAGCACUUCAGCCUGGGCUAAAGCUCUGACAGAUAUUAAAAUAGCUACUGGUCACAAUAUUAUUGAUGAACUUCCGCCUUGUAAGAAGAAAGCAGUACUGUGUUACUUUGGCUCUGUGACCAGUAUGGGAUCCCUAAAUGUAUCUGUGAUAUUUGGCUUUCUAAAUAUGAUACUUUGGGGAGGAAAUGCUUGGUUUGUGUACAAGGAGACCAGCCUACACAGUCCAUCAAAUACAUCUGCCCCUCAUAGCCAAGGAGGUAUUCCACCUCCUACCGGAAUAUAAUUAAAGGGAGAAAUACACUGUAUGAAGUAUAUGUUGAUACUAUGACAUGUUGCCAACACCUUGAGAAGCAUUAUUUGUUUCUAAUAAAAGUAAUGGCUUUGUCAAU
rnacentral:sRNA from 1 species